GCCAUGAAAUACCGGUUCUCGUUAGAUCACCGAAUCAAGCAUCAUUGGGCGCGGUCAGUACUUGGGUGGGUGACCACCUGGGAACACCGCGUGCCGUU
rnacentral:rRNA from 1 species